rnacentral:tRNA from 1 species
AAAAUCCGUCGACUUUUAAAAUCGUGAGGGUUCAAGUCCC